rnacentral:rRNA from 1 species
UACGAAGGGGGCUAGCGUUGUUCGGAUUUACUGGGCGUAAAGCGCACGUAGGCGGAUCGUUAAGUCGGGGGUGAAAUCCUGGAGCUCAACUCCAGAACUGCCUUCGAUACGGGCAGGCUCGAGUUCGGUAGGGGAGACUGGAAUUCCUGGUGUAGCGGUGAAAUGCGCAGAUAUCAGGAGGAACACCGGUGGCGAAGGCGGGUCUCUGGGCCGAUACUGACGCUGAGGAGCGAAAGCGUGGGGAGCGAACAGG